GACGAACGCUGGCGGCGUGCUUAACACAUGCAAGUCGAACGGAAAGGCCCUGCUUUUGUGGGGUGCUCGAGUGGCGAACGGGUGAGUAACACGUGAGUAACCUGCCCUUGACUUUGGGAUAACUUCAGGAAACUGGGGCUAAUACCGGAUAGGAGCUCCUGCUGCAUGGUGGGGGUUGGAAAGUUUCGGCGGUUGGGGAUGGACUCGCGGCUUAUCAGCUUGUUGGUGGGGUAGUGGCUUACCAAGGCUUUGACGGGUAGCCGGCCUGAGAGGGUGACCGGCCACAUUGGGACUGAGAUACGGCCCAGACUCCUACGGGAGGCAGCAGUGGGGAAUAUUGCACAAUGGGCGGAAGCCUGAUGCAGCAACGCCGCGUGCGGGAUGACGGCCUUCGGGUUGUAAACCGCUUUCGCCUGUGACGAAGCGUGAGUGACGGUAAUGGGUAAAGAGGCACCGGCUAACUACGUGCCAGCGGCCGCGGUGAUACGUAGGGUGCGAGCGUUGUCCGGAUUUAUUGGGCGUAAAGGGCUCGUAGGUGGUUGAUCGCGUCGGAAGUGUAAUCUUGGGGCUUAACCCUGAGCGUGCUUUCGAUACGGGUUGACUUGAGGAAGGUAGGGGAGAAUGGAAUUCCUGGUGGAGCGGUGGAAUGCGCAGAUAUCAGGAGGAACACCAGUGGCGAAGGCGGUUCUCUGGGCCUUUCCUGACGCUGAGGAGCGAAAGCGUGGGGAGCGAACAGGCUUAGAUACCCUGGUAGUCCACGCUGUAAACGGUGGGUACUAGGUGUGGGGUCCAUUCCACGGGUUCCGUGCCGUAGCUAACGCUUUAAGUACCCCGCCUGGGGAGUACGGCCGCAAGGCUAAAACUCAAAGGAAUUGACAGGGCCCCGCACAAGCGGCGGAGCAUGCGGAUUAAUUCGAUGCAACGCGUAGAACCUUACCUGGGUUUGACAUGGAUCGGGAGUGCUCAGAGAUGGGUGUGCCUCUUUUGGGGUCGGUUCACAGGUGGUGCAUGGCUGUCGUCAGCUCGUGUCGUGAGAUGUUGGGUUAAGUCCCGCAACGAGCGCAACCCUUGUUCACUGUUGCCAGCACGUUAUGGUGGGGACUCAGUGGAGACCGCCGGGGUCAACUCGGAGGAAGGUGGGGAUGACGUCAAGUCAUCAUGCCCCUUAUGUCCAGGGCUUCACGCAUGCUACAAUGGCUGGUACAGAGAGUGGCGAGCCUGUGAGGGUGAGCGAAUCUCGGAAAGCCGGUCUCAGUUCGGAUUGGGGUCUGCAACUCGACCUCAUGAAGUCGGAGUCGCUAGUAAUCGCAGAUCAGCAACGCUGCGGUGAAUACGUUCCCGGG
rnacentral:rRNA from 1 species